rnacentral:tRNA from 1 species
GCAGAGCCUGGCCGACGGACUCGGGGCGGCCGGUUUCGACCCGGCCCGCCCGGCGUUCUUCGUCUGGCUCGGUG